rnacentral:rRNA from 1 species
UACGGGGGGAGCAAGCGUUGUUCGGAUUUACUGGGCGUAAAGGGCGCGUAGGCGGUCAGCACAAGUCAGGUGUGAAAUCUCCGGGCUUAACUCGGAAAGGUCAACUGAUACUGUGCGACUAGAGUGCAGAAGGGGCAACUGGAAUUCUCGGUGUAGCGGUGAAAUGCGCAGAUAUCAGGAGGAACACCGAUUGCGAAGGCAGCUCGCUGGAACGUUACUGACGCUGAGACGCGAAAGCGUGGGGAGCAAACAGG